GCUCAGCGCUGAAUCUCUUUGCUGUAAUGGUAAAGCGAACUGUAGCGUAUAGCAUUUUAUAUUUUAUUUAAUAUAAUAUCUUAAGUUCUCUUUGACUAGAGUUCCAUAGAAGGUGAUAGACCUGUUAAGAUAUUUUAUAUUUAAUAAUUAUUUUAUGCUUUGAGUCGGGUUGUUUGGAAACACAGCCCAAAGUAGGUGGUAAACUUCACCUAAAGCUAAAUAUAUGUAUGAAUCCGAUAGCAAACAAGUACCGUGAGGGAAAGUUGAAAAGAACUCUGAAGAGAGAGUUAAAUAGUACGUGAAACUGAAUGAGUGGAAGCGUAUAGAGUUGUCGAAAGAUGGUAAUAAUAAGUUGUAUAAAAGUGUAACGGGUCWUUGAAUGUUUUCGUAUGAAUCAUUUUUUGAUUGCAGUUUAUUUUUAUAUAAUGCACUUGUUGCCAUUGUGCUGAUACAAUUGAUUGAAAUUUUUGAAAUUAUAUUAGAGGGCAUAUCUUCGGAUGUGUAUCCUGGURUAAUGGAUAAGAUUUUUGGUUAAUUGUCCUUUAAUAUAUUAAAAGAGAGUAUAAAUURGAUUGUAUUUAAGAGUUAACGCUUGCGUUAGCUUUUUUAAAUAGUUUAAUUUUAUGCUUAAUAAUAAUUAUUAAAUAUCAGUAUAAAAGACAAUCACCUAUAUGUCCCGUCUUGAAACACGGACCAAGGAGUUUAUCGUAUGUGCGAGUCAUUAAGUGAUAAAAACUUAUUGGCGUAAUGAAAGUAAAGCAAGUUUUUGAACUUGUGAUAUAUGAUUGUUUUUUUWCGAAAAAGCAAGCAGUAUAGUCCCAUCUAAUAUAUUUAUAUAUGGGUGGAGAUAGAGCAUAUGCGAUGAGACCCGAAAGAUGGUGAACUAUGCCUGAGCAGGAUGAAGUCAGAGGAAACUCUGAUGGAAGUCCGAAGCGGUUCUGACGUGCAAAUCGAU
rnacentral:rRNA from 1 species